rnacentral:misc_RNA from 1 species
GAUGAAGAACGUAGCAAAAUGCGAUAAGUAAUGUGAAUUGCAGAAUUCAGUGAAUCAUCGAAUCUUUGAACGCACAUUGCGCCCGCUGGUAUUCCGGCGGGCAUGCCUGUUCGAGCGUCAUUUCAACCAUCAAGCCCCAGGCUUGCGUUGGAGCCCUGCGGCUGCCGCAGCCUCCUAAAAGCAGUGGCGGGCUCGCUAUCACACCGAGUGCAGUAGAUUACUCUUCGCUCAGGGCGUGCAGCGGGUUCCGGCCGUGAAACCCCCUACUUUUAAAGGUUGACCUCGGAUCAGGUAGGAAUACCCGCUGAACUUAAGCAUAUCAAUAAGCGGAGGA